GACAUUAAUCGAAUGUUCGUCUCGUUAAAUUAAAAAUAUUCGCGUAGUAGAAGCAGCAUGUUAUUCGUUUGUAUUUAGUGAUUCAAACAACAAGUGUUUUAUGCACAAAUCGAUUUUGCGUGCAAUGCAGUAGUUAGAUUCAGUGUUUGAUCCGCAAAGUGUUUUGCUUUUUUAACAGUCUCACAGACUGUAUUUAUCAAAGUCAGUAGAAUUAAAGUGAAAUAAAUUCAAUGACCGUCCGUUAAUAAAUAACUAUCGUGAAUUAGAGUCAGUGCAUCAUUAAAGAGGAUCUUGACCAACUUCGAUGUCGACCUCUAUCUCAUUUACAACCACCUACGAAUCUCAUCCACCCUUAAUUUCGACCUAAAUCGCGGAUGAGUGUUUUGAAGCCAUCGUAGAGAACUUUCUUAAGUAGUUCUUAUCGGGUGAAAUGGAUCGGUCAGGAUACUAAAAUCAAGAUGACGCUCGUUCGGUACGUCUGCCCUCGCUCGUAUCGUACAGAAACAAGUGGCUUCCUUUCCUUCCGGCAAAUCCAGAACUAUCGAUCAAAGAUUACACCAGAAGCGGACUUAUUAAAUGACUUCGCCGGGUUACAUCGGAUGCAUCGCCGAAGAUUAAUGAAAGUCAUUUAAAUAUCGAGCCGCGUUAUCGGCUAAACGAGAUUUGCAUUCGUCGAUUCUCGUUAGUUUUUAUCGUAGCCGAAACGAAACGAAACGAAACGAAAUGCUCGGCGAUACUUUGUCUCUCCUCCCCCUUUGACGCCGCCACACGUUCGCCAUUCGAUUAAUUAACUUCUACCAGCCUUACGAGAAUUUCGAUCGUGAGUGAAAAGUAGCGUUAAACGAAUGAACGAUUUCUCAUAAU